GUGUCAGCUCAUGAGCAGCAGGCAGUAGCACCUGAUGUCUUUGUUGCUAAGCUCCUGCUCCUGUCUAGCAACUGUCACCGCAGAAACUAUCCUGGGAGUGUGCCCCUGUUGCUUGGAGACGUGAACUCUGUUGACAGGCUGACAGUUUGACCCCCGCUAUGCUCUACAAUGACUGCAGCAGCAUGUCAUUCUCAUCUGGAUACACAUCGCCGCCGUCUCUCUGACUUCAACCUGAGCUUCAAUCUGGAUCCAGAACACCUGAGAAGAGAUGAUGCCAACCCUGAAACAACACACACAACUACCAAAUUUUGCUAUAAGUUCGAUUGCAUCAUAUAAUAAUUGCUGUUAAUAGUGUUCAUCGUCUGUUUGAUUACGUCUUAAAUUGGUUUUUCCGUACAUUUCUGCCAUAUGCACAUUAACUGACAGUCACCACUGAUAAGCUACUACUAAAUAUAUUUGAAGAAACGUAAUUUUCUGUAAAGUUGCUUUGCAACGAUUUGUAUCGUGAAA
ensembl:lncRNA